rnacentral:rRNA from 1 species
UAGGGAAUCUUCGGCAAUGGGGGCAACCCUGACCGAGCAACGCCGCGUGAGUGAAGAAGGUUUUCGGAUCGUAAAGCUCUGUUGUAAGAGAAGAACGUGUGUGAGAGUGGAAAGUUCACACAGUGACGGUAACUUACCAGAAAGGGACGGCUAACUACGUGCCAGCAGCCGCGGUAAUACGUAGGUCCCGAGCGUUGUCCGGAUUUAUUGGGCGUAAAGCGAGCGCAGGCGGUUUAAUAAGUCUGAAGUUAAAGGCAGUGGCUUAACCAUUGUUCGCUUUGGAAACUGUUAAACUUGAGUGCAGAAGGGGAGAGUGGAAUUCCAUGUGUAGCGGUGAAAUGCGUAGAUAUAUGGAGGAACACCGGUGGCGAAAGCGGCUCUCUGGUCUGUAACUGGCGCUGAGGCUCGAAAGCGUGGGGAGCAAACAGG